CCUACGGGGUGCUGCAGUGGGGAAUAUUGGACAAUGGGCGAAAGCCUGAUCCAGCCAUGCCGCGUGUGUGAAGAAGGCCUUCGGGUUGUAAAGCACUUUCAGUGGGGAAGAAAGCCUUGGGGCUAAUACCCUCGAGGAAGGACAUCACCCACAGAAGAAGCACCGGCUAACUCCGUGCCAGCAGCCGCGGUAAUACGGAGGGUGCGAGCGUUAAUCGGAAUUACUGGGCGUAAAGCGCGCGUAGGCGGUCUGAUAAGCCGGUUGUGAAAGCCCCGGGCUCAACCUGGGAACGGCAUCCGGAACUGUCAGGCUAGAGUGCAGGAGAGGAAGGUAGAAUUCCCGGUGUAGCGGUGAAAUGCGUAGAGAUCGGGAGGAAUACCAGUGGCGAAGGCGGCCUUCUGGACUGACACUGACGCUGAGGUGCGAAAGCGUGGGUAGCAAACAGGAUUAGAUACCCCAGUAGC
rnacentral:rRNA from 1 species